AUUGAACGCUGGCGGCAGGCCUAACACAUGCAAGUCGAGCGGAUGAAGGGAGCUUGCUCCUGGAUUCAGCGGCGGACGGGUGAGUAAUGCCUAGGAAUCUGCCUGGUAGUGGGGGAUAACGUCCGGAAACGGGCGCUAAUACCGCAUACGUCCUGAGGGAGAAAGUGGGGGAUCUUCGGACCUCACGCUAUCAGAUGAGCCUAGGUCGGAUUAGCUAGUUGGUGGGGUAAAGGCCUACCAAGGCGACGAUCCGUAACUGGUCUGAGAGGAUGAUCAGUCAAACUGAACUGGAGCACCGGCCCGGACCCUACGGGGAGGAAGAGGUGGGGAAUAUUGACCAUUGGGGGAAAGCCUGUCCAACCCAGGCGGGGGGUGUGAAGAAGGCCUCCGGAUUGUAAAGACUUUUAGGUUGGGGGAAGGGCAGUAAGUUAAUACCUUGCUGUUUUGACGUUACCAACAGAAUAAGCACCGGCUAACUUCGUG
rnacentral:rRNA from 1 species